UUAAGCAUAUCAAUAAGCGGAGGAAAAGAAACCAACAGGGAUUGCCUCAGUAACGGCGAGUGAAGCGGCAACAGCUCAAAUUUGAAAUCUGGCUCUUCCAGAGUCCGAGUUGUAAUUUGCAGAGGAUGCUUCGGGUUCGGCUCCGGUCUAAGUUCCUUGGAACAGGACGUCAUAGAGGGUGAGAAUCCCGUAUGUGACUGGCCGCCACGCCCGUGUGAAGCUCCUUCGACGAGUCGAGUUGUUUGGGAAUGCAGCUCAAAAUGGGUGGUAAAUUUCAUCUAAAGCUAAAUAUUGGCCAGAGACCGAUAGCGCACAAGUAGAGUGAUCGAAAGAUGAAAAGCACUUUGGAAAGAGAGUCAAACAGUACGUGAAAUUGUUGAAAGGGAAGCGCUUGCAACCAGACUUGCCCGCGGGUGAUCAGCCGGUAUUCUUACCGGUGCACUCGCCCGUGGUCAGGCCAGCAUCGGUUUGGGCGGCUGGAUAAAGUCCACCGGAAUGUAGCUCCUCUCGGGGAGUGUUAUAGCCGGAGGUGCCAUGCAGCCCGCCCGGACCGAGGACCGCGCUUUGGCUAGGAUGCUGGCGUAAUGGUUGUAAGCGACCCGUCUUGAAACACGGACCA
rnacentral:rRNA from 1 species